rnacentral:rRNA from 1 species
CCUACGGGUGGCAGCAGUGGGGAAUAGUGCACAAUGGGGGAAACCCUGAUGCAGCGACGCCGCGUGAGUGAGGAAGUAUUUCGGUAUGUAAAGCUCUAGCAGCAGGGAAGAAAAUGACGGUACCUGACUAAGAAGCCCCGGCUAACGACGUGCCAGCAGCCGCGGUAAUACGUAGGGGGCAAGCGUUAUCCGGAUUUACUGGGUGUACAGGGAGCGUAUACGGCUAAUCAAGUCAGAAGUGAAAACCUAGGGCUCAACCUUGGGACUGCUUUUGAAACUGAGUAGCUAGAGUGCAGGAGAGGUAAGCGGACUUCCUAGUGUAGCGGUUCACUGCGUAGAUAUUAGGAGGACCACCAGUGGCGAAGGCGGCUUACUUGACUGUAACUGACGUUGAGGCUCGAAAGCGUGGGGAGCAAACCGGAUUAGAUACCCGUGUAGUC